CCGAAUGGGGAAACCCAGUGUGACUCGUCACACUAUCAUUAACUGAAUCCAUAGGUUAAUGAGGCGAACCGGGGGAACUGAAACAUCUAAGUACCCCGAGGAAAAGAAAUCAACCGAGAUUCCCCCAGUAGCGGCGAGCGAACGGGGAGGAGCCCAGAGCCUGAAUCAGCAUGUGUGUUAGUGGAAGCGUCUGGAAAGGCGCGCGAUACAGGGUGACAGCCCCGUACACAAAAGCGCAU
rnacentral:rRNA from 1 species